ACAGCGGAUGACGGGAGCUUGCUCCUUGAUUCAGCGGCGGACGGGUGAGUUAAUGCCUAGGAAUCUGCCUGGUAGUGGGGGACAACGUUUCGAAAGGAACGCUAAUACCGCAUACGUCCUACGGGAGAAAGCAGGGGACCUUCGGGCCUUGCGCUAUCAGAUGAGCUUAGGUCGGAUUAGCUAGUUGGUGAGGUAAUGGCUCACCAAGGCGACGAUCCGUAACUGGUCUGAGAGGAUGAUCAGUCACACUGGAACUNAGACACGGUCCAGACUCCUACGGGAGGCAGCAGGGGGGAAUAUUGGAAAUGGGCGANAGCCUGAUAGGGCCUUGCCGCGUGUGUGAGAAGGUUUUCUGAUGUAGAGCUUCUG
rnacentral:rRNA from 1 species